GCGGGCACUCGCCCCGGCGUCUGCGGGACCCGCGGGCUCCGAGCGCGCUGCCGCCCUCCCGCGCCGCCCUCGCACACGCAGAACCCACUUUUAAAGAAGCCGAAGAGCUGCACCCACCGACACCGAGCGCAGCCGGCUGUGGCUGUUCUCUCCCGGUCUGCAGUUGAGCCCGGACCCUGGAAUAGAAAGACAGUUCUCCGUUGGACUGGCAGAAAGCGAAGGAAGACUCCUCGGUUCCCGAGGAGAGCGGAGCGGAUGCUCUAGUGAAGAAAUGAAGAAUCAAAGAAGUAAAGGACCUCUCUGAAAAUCGCGUAACUAGGGAAUCUUGAGGAGUUUCGCUCUUUUCAUCCUCCAGUCGCAACUCCUUUUCAGGGGAGGCUCUUCUUGCUUGAAAUAAAAGGCAAGCAGUUCCUGGCCUGUGAAACCCCAGUGAUGUGCCUGUCAGUAUGCUGGUCCCAAUGCUGAGGGACAUCAUGGGCUUUGACUCCAGGUUCCUGUCCUGAGACCACAGCAGAAAGUGCCUUGGAAGAAGG